GUGGGGAAUCUUGCGCAAUGGGCGAAAGCCUGACGCAGCCAUGCCGCGUGGAUGAUGAAGGUCUUAGGAUUGUAAAAUCCUUUCACCGGUGAAGAUAAUGACUGUAGCCGGAGAAGAAGCCCCGGCUAACUUCGUGCCAGCAGCCGCGGUAAUACGAAGGGGGCUAGCGUUGCUCGGAUUUACUGGGCGUAAAGGGCGCGUAGGCGGACAUUUAAGUCAGGGGUGAAAUCCCGGGGCUCAACCUCGGAACUGCCUUUGAUACUGGAUGUCUUGAGUAUGAGAGAGGUGUGUGGAACUCCGAGUGUAGAGGUGAAAUUCGUAGAUAUUCGGAAGAACACCAGUAGCGAAGGCGACACACUGGCUCAUUACUGACGCUGAGGCGCGAAAGCGUGGGGAGCAAACAGGAUUAGAAACCCCGGUAGUCC
rnacentral:rRNA from 1 species